CCCCUAGAUGUUCUGGGCCGCACGCGCGCUACACUGAACAGUUCAACAAGUCUUAACCUUGGCCGAUAGGUCUGGGUAAUCUUUGAACGCUGUUCGUGAUUGGGAUAGACCUUUGCAAUUAUGGGUCUUCAACGAGGAAUUCCUAGUAAACGCAAGUCAUCAGCUUGCAUUGAUUACGUCCCUGCCCUUUGUACACACCGCCCGUCGCACCUACCGAUUGGAUGGUCCGGUGAAGCCUCGGGAUUGUGACUUGUGCCUUUAUUGGUGUUGGUCGCGAGAACUUGUCUAAACCUUAUCAUCUAGAGGAAGGUGAAGUCGUAACA
rnacentral:rRNA from 1 species